rnacentral:tRNA from 1 species
AAAUUCUACUUAAACUACCCCCUG